rnacentral:tRNA from 1 species
CAGAAAGUAGUUUAAAAAAAAUACAGGUUUUGGAAAUCUAUGUUGCUCUUGGGUCUUUCUGA